rnacentral:rRNA from 1 species
UAACUUAGUGGCGGACGGGUGAGUAACGCGUGAGAAUCUGCCUUCAGGACGGAGACAACAGUUGGAAACGACUGCUAAGCCCCGAUGAACCGAAAGGGAAAAUAUUUAUAGCCUGAAGAUGGGCUCGCGUCCGAUUAGCUAGUUGGCGGAGUAAAAGCCCACCAAGGCGACGAUCGGUAGCUGGUCUGAGAGGACGAUCAGCCACACUGGGACUGAGACACGGCCCAG